rnacentral:sRNA from 1 species
CAAAAUUUUCAUAAGUUCUUUGACUUUGCGUUGAUUAUCUUCCAAUUCUAAUUGCGCCUUUUGCCUAUAUUCAUUUCGUCGCUGGUUUACCAGAUCCCGCGAAGACAUGGCUUUAGGUUUUGGAUGCUCAAAGUAGACUGUAAUAUAAUCUGCCGCUUGGCUGCGAUGCUCCAUAUCACGAAACCUUCUAUCAACUUUACCCUCCCUUACUGCAUAGUACCCCUGAU